rnacentral:rRNA from 1 species
AUACGGAGGGUGCGAGCGUUAAUCGGAAUUACUGGGCGUAAAGCGUACGUAGGCGGUUCGUUAAGUUAGAUGUGAAAGCCCCGGGCUUAACCUGGGAACUGCAUUUAAAACUGGCGAACUAGAGUUGAGUAGAGGGGAGUGGAAUUUCAGGUGUAGCGGUGAAAUGCGUAGAGAUCUGAAGGAACACCAGUGGCGAAGGCGACUCCCUGGACUCGAACUGACGCUGAGGUACGAAAGCGUGGGUAGCAAACGGGAUUAGAAACCCUAGUAGUCC